rnacentral:tRNA from 1 species
GGGCCGUUAGCUCAGCGGUAGAGCAGCGGGCUUUUAACCCGACGGUCGCAGGUUCGAUCCCUGCACGGCCCA